GAAGAGGAGGAGGAGAAAAACAACUGCAAAGGUUGCUUUUCUACUCAGUUCUACUAGGAUUUUGGCCUAAAGAAAAUAAAAGUGAACAUAAAGCUUUAGCUAUUGUAUUGUUCAUGGCAAUGAUGUUUAUCAUUAUGAAAUUAAUCCAGAUGUCUUACUUUUCUCAUUGCUGAGACAGAAUACACAACAGCAACAAGUUCAAGGAGGAGAGGUUUAUUUCAGCUUACAGUUUGUAGAGGUUUCAGGCCACAGUGUGCUGCCUCCAAGGCAGAAUGUCAUGGCAGAAGAGAAACAGCCCAUGCUGUUGCAGGCCAUCCACAAAUGAUGUUAAAGCCCUCACCAUUCAGCCACCCCUCCAAGCCUUCCUCAGAACGCUGCACCACUGAGGGUCAAGCCCUCAACACAUGAGCCUUUUGGGGACACCAUCCUUGAACCCUGGCACAGGAAGGAUAUCUAUAAAUGUUAAGUGAAAAAAAGCAUGUUACAGAAUAUUGGCAUAAUAUUUACCGAAAAUAUCCCAUUUUUCCAUGGUGAAAUGGUCUUAUUCUCCAAAUGAUUAUCAAAGUCUUCAUGAAAAAAGAUGUAGAGCUGGGCAUGGAAGUGUAAUGCCAGCAAUGUGGGAGGCGGAUGGAUCACAAGUUCAAGCCCAGCCUGAAGAACCUGGAGCGAACCCGUCUCAAAGCAUAAAAGGAGGAGGCCGAGCUCACUCUGUGCUCAUCUUUCUCAGUUCAACCCCCAGGGCGGCAGAGAGGGAAGGGGAGAGAGCAGCUUAAAAAGCAGGUCAUAUUAGUUGUGAUUCCUUAUUUGUCCGUUUAACAUCUAUGUCUAAGAAAAAAGUACUAAAGAAAUUUUGCUGAAAUUCAGAUCCCAUUUACAACUUGUACUAGUUUAUUUUGCUUUUGAAUCCUGAAUCACCGGAGCAUCCUCUGAUGAAGCAGGAGUUGGCUGAGCAGAGUCUUUGGUUGAAAGCUGAGGCAUCAUCUGUAAAGUCAUCUAUGGUGGUUCAAAGACUAUGACUCCCACAUGUGUGCAGUUUUUAAAGAUCACUGGACUGUAAGCUGAAGACUGCGGGCUAAUUAUUCUCCAACAACACAAAACUGGUUGGGAUUCUUCCGUGAAAGUGUGGGGACCAGGAAGUAAGUAGUGCAGCUCAGCAAAAGUGCAGCUAAGCAAGAGUGUUACUGGACACCAUGCCUUUGAAGGAUCUUAGAGGAAAGGAAAUGUACAAAAGACUGAUGAGGAAAACGGGAAGGGUAAGAGAAAGGAUACAUACGAUAAAGAAUGUGGCCGCCCAGCACAAGACACCCCUCGGAGUCACCCAUAGGACAGGCGCUUCCCCCAAAUCUCGUGUCACAUUUUCUGUUGGCAAACAUUAAAAAUUAUCUGAGCAAGGGGCAUAUAACACAGGUAUAAAUUAAAACAUGCUUAAUAGCAGUUCAAAAGCUUAAUUUUCUGAAGAAUGUUUACUGCUUAUAAUUAAGUGUACAUUUGCUUCCCAAGUGUGGGAAAUUGAAGCUAAAAUCAUUAAAGGUUUCUCCAUAGUUGGGUGGAACCUAUAGGAUUAUCUACAAACAUAUAUAAACUGAUGUAUAUGGAUCAUGAAAUACAAGUGAAGUCUUAUUUCUAUUUAUGAAUGGAACUGGAUGCUUGUUAUUAACACUGUGCAAUUUUCAG